rnacentral:rRNA from 1 species
AGUGAACGCUGGCGGUAGGCCUAACACAUGCAAGUCGAACGGCAGCACAGUAAGAGCUUGCUCUUACGGGUGGCGAGUGGCGGACGGGUGAGGAAUACAUCGGAAUCUACUUUUUCGUGGGGGAUAACGUAGGGAAACUUACGCUAAUACCGCAUACGACCUACGGGUGAAAGCAGGGGAUCUUCGGACCUUGCGCGAUUGAAUGAGCCGAUGUCGGAUUAGCUAGUUGGCGGGGUAAAGGCCCACCAAGGCGACGAUCCGUAGCUGGUCUGAGAGGAUGUUCCGCCACACUGGAACUGAGACACGGUCCAGACUCCUACGGGAGGCAGCAGUGGGGAAUAUUGGACAAUGGGCGCAAGCCUGAUCCAGCCAUACCGCGUGGGUGAAGAAGGCCUUCGUGUUGUAAAGCCCUUUUGUUGGGAAAGAAAAGCAGCAGGUUAAUACCCCGCUGUUCUGACGGUACCCAAAGAAUAAGCACCGGCUAACUUCGUG